CCCACAGUGCAUUAUGAUUCCCUCCCCUCUGCCCUGGAGAUAAUUACCAAGUAACUCAAUUAUCUCCAGGAAAAAGCCAGUCGCCAUUUUAAAUAUAAAAUCAUAAAAGACAUAAAAAUGCAUAACUUUCAAAUAACCAAACAUUUCUCAUUCGUAUCACAUAUCCCCAGAUAGCCUGGAUCUGAUUGCAUAUUAUUAGCGAAUAGCGCUCAGAUCCCACACACAUAG